UACGUAGGCAGCAAGCGUUGUUCGGAAUUACUGGGCGUAAAGAGUGUGUAGGCGGUGCUCUAAGUCUGUCGUGAAAUCUCCCGGCUUAACUGGGAGGGUGCGGCGGAAACUGGAAUGCUAGAGGGUGGGAGAGGAAAGCGGAAUUCCUGGUGUAGCGGUGAAAUGCGCAGAUAUCAGGAGGAACACCGGUGGCGAAGGCGGGUCUCUGGGCCGAUACUGACGCUGAGGAGCGAAAGCGUGGGGAGCAAACAGG
rnacentral:rRNA from 1 species